UGGGGAAUUUUGGACAAUGGGGGCAACCCUGAUCCAGCCAUUCCGCGUGAGUGAAGAAGGCCUUCGGGUUGUAAAGCUCUUUCGGCAGGAACGAAACGGUCUUUUCUAAUACAAGAGGCUAAUGACGGUACCUGAAGAAGAAGCACCGGCUAACUACGUGCCAGCAGCCGCGGUAAUACGUAGGGUGCGAGCGUUAAUCGGAAUUACUGGGCGUAAAGCGUGCGCAGGCGGUUGUGUAAGACAGAUGUGAAAUCCCCGGGCUUAACCUGGGAACUGCGUUUGUGACUGCACGACUCGAGUACGGCAGAGGGGGGUGGAAUUCCACGUGUAGCAGUGAAAUGCGUAGAGAUGUGGAGGAACACCGAUGGCGAAGGCAGCCCCCUGGGCUAGUACUGACGCU
rnacentral:rRNA from 1 species